UGGGGAAUAUUGCGCAAUGGGCGAAAGCCUGACGCAGCAACGCCGCGUGGGGGAUGAAGGUUCUCGGAUUGUAAACCCCUUUCGAUCGGAACGAAUCCCCUCCUGGUAAAUAAUCAGGAGGAUCGACGGUACCGAGAGAAGAAGCCACGGCUAACUCUGUGCCAGCAGCCGCGGUAAGACAGAGGUGGCGAGCGUUGUUCGGAUUUAUUGGGCGUAAAGCGAACGCAGGCGGUUUGGUAAGUCAGAGGUGAAAGACCACAGCUUAACUGUGGCACUGCCUUUGAUACUGCCUUUCUUGAGUGCAUGAGGGGGAAGCGGAAUUCCGAGUGUAGAGGUGAAAUUCGUAGAUAUUCGGAGGAACACCGGUGGCGAAGGCGGCUUCCUGGCAUGUAACUGACGCUCAUGUUCGAAAGCGUGGGUAGCAAACA
rnacentral:rRNA from 1 species